AGUGAACGCUGGCGGCAGGCCUAAUACAUGCAAGUCGAACGGCAGCACAGCAGAGCUUGCUCUGUGGGUGGCGAGUGGCGGACGGGUGAGGAAUACAUGGGAAUCUGCCCAGUCGUGGGGGAUAACGUAGGGAAACUUACGCUAAUACCGCAUGCGCCCUUCGGGGGAAAGCCGGGGACCUUCGGGCCUGGCGCGAUUGGAUGAGCCCAUGUCGGAUUAGCUAGUUGGCGGGGUAAAGGCCCACCAAGGCGACGAUCCGUAGCUGGUCUGAAAGGAUGAUCAGCCACACUGGAACUGAGACACGGGCCAGACUCCUACGGGAGUCAGCAGUGGGGAAUAUUGGACAAGGGGCGCAAGCCUGAUCCAGCCAUACCGCGUGGGUGAAGAAGGCCUUCGGGUUGUAAAGCCCUUUUGUUGGGAAAGAAAUCCAUCUGGUUAAUACCCGGGUGGGAUGACGGUACCCAAAGAAUAAGCACCGGCUAACUUCGUGCCAGCAGCCGCAGUAAUAC
rnacentral:rRNA from 1 species